ensembl:lncRNA
AGGGGGGGGGGAAACGGGGGGUGUUGGUUUAUUUAUGGCGCUUUGUUCUGCGGCGCUGCUGUUGGGGAUGCGGUGGUGCAGGGAGAGACUUCAGCUUGGAGGGGAGGGUUUGGGGGUGGGGAUGUCCGAAAUGCUGGGGGUGAGCGGCUCCUGGGGGGGGUUCCACGUGGGAUAACAGCAAAAGCAAAGGGCCGGGCCGGGCUGGGCCAGCAGUGAGGCCAAAACGCACCGCUGUGCGCCCCGAAAUCCGCUGCUGGGUGUGCAAAGCGUUGGCGGUGCGUCUUUGCAGAGGGGCAGCUCCCACCACGGCCGUCCAAUUCCGCCUCUUUGGCAGUGGAUUCCCCGGGGUGCACUGCAUCUGUGCGCAGCCACGCCGUGUGUGCGUUGCACAGAGACACCGGCCCUUGGCGUGCUGCUGUGUGUGCAAGGGCGGGCGGUGACGUGCAAUGGUCUGCAAGGACGUGCAAAGGUGUGCAAGGGUGUGUGAUUUGCAAGGAGGUGAGAAGGUAUGCAAGGAUGUGUGAGGGCAGACAACGGUGUGCAGUGGUGUGCAAAGGUGAGCAGGGGUUUGCAAGGAUGUGCAAAGGUGUGCAAGGAUGUGCAAAGGUGUGCAAGGGUGUGUGAUUUGCAAGGAGGUGCAAAGGUGUGCAAGGAUGUGUGAGGGCAGACAAUGGUGUGCAAUGGUGUGCAAAGGUGAGUAGGGGUUUGCAAGGAUGUGCAAAGGUGUGCAAGGGUGUGUGAUUUGCAAGGAGGUGCAAAGGUAUGCAAGGAUGUGUGAGGGUAGACAACGGUGUGCAAUGGUGUGCAAAGGAGAGUAGGGGUUUGCAAGGAUGUGCAAAGGUGUGCAAGGAUGGGUGAGGGCAGACAGCAGUGUGUAAUGGUGUGCAAAGGUGAGUAAGGGUUUGCAAGGAUGUGCAAAGGUGUGCAAGG